AGGUCACACCUGGGCGACCCUCCCGCGCACACCCAGCCAGAUCCUCCCGGACCCAAAUCCCUGGCGCAGCUUUAUGAGAACGUGGGGCUGGGAUACGCAGCAGGGGGCGCCGAUCCUGCCCAGCUGUGAUAGCCCCGUCGGCCCCUGUGGAGCGACCGCCGCCCCUCGAGGCCUGUGCCGGGGUCUGGGCGGGGCCAAGCCGCGUGUCAACACCCAGCGCCCCCCGCAGGGCGGGGUCGGAGGCUCCCCGCGCCACCAGGGGCUUUCCAAGGGGAAGAGGAACCCAGGCGUCCGGCCCCCCGCCUU